CCUACGUGCUGCAGCAGUGGGGAAUAUUGGACAAUGGGCGAAAGCCUGAUCCAGCCAUGCCGCGUGUGUGAAGAAGGCCUUCGGGUUGUAAAGCACUUUCAGUGGGGAAGAAAGCCUUGGGGCUAAUACCCUCGAGGAAGGACAUCACCCACAGAAGAAGCACCGGCUAACUCCGUGCCAGCAGCCGCGGUAAUACGGAGGGUGCGAGCGUUAAUCGGAAUUACUGGGCGUAAAGCGCGCGUAGGCGGUCUGAUAAGCCGGUUGUGAAAGCCCCGGGCUCAACCUGGGAACGGCAUCCGGAACUGUCAGGCUAGAGUGCAGGAGAGGAAGGUAGAAUUCCCGGUGUAGCGGUGAAAUGCGUAGAGAUCGGGAGGAAUACCAGUGGCGAAGGCGGCCUUCUGGACUGACACUGACGCUGAGGUGCGAAAGCGUGGGUAGCAAACAGGAUUAGAUACCCGGGUAGUC
rnacentral:rRNA from 1 species